AAAGGGGUGAACAAAAUGGCACUCGAGAGGAGAGGGAGGGGAAGAAGAUAUCCCAAUCAACUGGGCGCCAAUUUGAACAGGUCACUCGUCUCUCUCUCUCUCUCUCUCUCUCUGUACGUUUGUUGAUGGAGACCCUUCAAAUCCAGCCUCCAUUGCAGCCUGCAAACCCCUACUCCAUGAACUCAAUCCCCUCCAAGUUUGGAUCAAAACUCGGCUUCCGUUGCCCUACCAUUAGACGUUUCUGUGUCGUGUCUUCCCCAAAUUUGGCACCGACGACUGCCAAAGAACGGAAGGGUCGCAGAAAGAGUGUCGCCUUGGAGAGUAACGGAAGAGCCAAGGCCAAGGUUUCGGACGCUCAGCUGAAGGAGAACUGGCUCGCUUCUCUCUCUUGCCCCUUGCCGGACAAGCUCAAUGGCCAAGACGUUCUGCAUGUCUGCAGCCGCAAUUCCGACUCCCCGUGGAUAAUUGGAAUCGAUCCUGAUGUUUCUGGCGCUUUGGCCCUAUUGAAAACCGACGGUUCCGACGGCUGUUCUGCUCAGGUAUUUGAUUCUCCUAAUCUAAAAGUGUUGGUGGGUAGAAGUCUCCGACGACGUUUAGAUGCCAAGUCCAUUGUUCAGUUGAUUAGGAGUUUUGAUGCUCCACUUGGGACCAUUGCAUACAUAGAGCAAUCAUUACCUUAUCCCCAAGAUGGUAAACAGGGAUGGUGGAGCGGGGGAUUUGGAUAUGGACUCUGGAUUGGUAUGUUAGUUGCCUCAGGAUUUUCUGUUGUUCCAGUGCCAUCUUUUGUAUGGAAGAAUGAGUUUAAACUCUUGGGAAACUGCUCAAGUAAGGAUGAUAGCAGGGAGGUUGCUUCUGCAUUAUUUCCAUCCAUGAGUUCCUCGUUGAGAAGGAAGAAAGAUCAUGUGGUGAAAGAUGCAGGACUGUGAGGCCAAAAGUAAAAAUCUUAGUUAUGAGGGCAACUACUUUAAUGUUCGCUCAGUAUGGUCGAGCUGAGGCACUAUUAAUUGCUGCUUAUGGAAAAGGCCUGCAGAUGACCACCAAUUCACCAAGCGUGGCAAAAGAACUGGUGUCCUAAAAUGGGCAAAAUUGGCAAUAACCCACUUCAUUUUCGUGCCACAUCCUUUAGUUAUUGCUGGAUGUCUUCUCUUGCAAAUGCUACAAAUUGAAAGGCAACACGGAUUGGUAACAGGAGAAAAACACUUGAUGGAUCAUGCUAGAAUAUUUAUUGCACUUGAUCAGGCAUUUCUCUGGGUUUUAAACUAUCAUUUGUUCACUCCAAAAUUGCUAUGGUGGUUCUGCAAUCACGGCUGCUGAUUCAUUGAGAUCAAGCGGAUGGUCAUGCUAACUCAAAUUCUUGAUGGGGUUUGAGUUCAUUGUAACCUAGAGGUCUCAGGUUAAAUUUAGGAAAUAGCUUGUUUGUUGAGGAGAGGUAAGACUGCGUACAAUUCUUGAACCCUACAAUGGGGGAGCUUCCUGCACUGGAUUCACUUUUUGAGCUCCGAAUUAGGAUCAUCUACCAUAACCUAUGAAGAACGUCUAAGAUUCUAAUAGACUUUUGAAGUUCUCUUUGGGAGCAUGCAAUUUCCUUUGCGGACCUGGUAUGGUUAAUAGUGACAGGCUAAUUUAUUAAAAUUUCAGUCA